rnacentral:tRNA from 1 species
CGCCCCGUAGCCCGCAUCGGGAGCGGGAUCGCGUACUCUCCGUGCGGUUGCUCCCGCUGCCCUCCGGAGGCAGAAGUCGCAAGUUCGAAUCUUGCCGGGCGCG